rnacentral:rRNA from 1 species
UACCGAGGGUGCGAGCGUUGUCCGGAAUUACUGGGCGUAAAGGGCGCGUAGGCGGCCUGAUAAGUAGGGGGUGAAAUUCCGUGGCUCAACCACGGAACUGCCUUCUAAACUGCCAGGCUUGAGCACGGUAGAGGCAGAUGGAAUUCCCGGUGUAGCGGUGGAAUGCGUAGAGAUCGGGAAGAACACCAGUGGCGAAGGCGGUCUGCUGGGCCGUUGCUGACGCUGAUGCGCGACAGCGUGGGGAGCAAACAGG